GCGUAAUUGGUUUAGUGGUAAAAUUCUCCGUUGCCAUCCGGGUUUCAGCAAGGAACUCGAGCAACCUCGGGGAGCCCUGGGUUCGAUUCCCAGAUUACGCA
rfam:Fusarium graminearum chromosome 4, complete genome